GCCAUAGCUCAGUGGUAGAGCAUCUCCUUUGCAUCCAGGAGGUCCCAGGUUCAAACCCCAGCAUCUCCA